rnacentral:rRNA from 1 species
UACGUAGGGUGCGAGCGUUAAUCGGAAUUACUGGGCGCAAAGCGUGCGCAGGCGGUUUUGCAAGCCGGAUGUGAAAUCCCCGGGCUCAACCUGGGAAUGGCAUUCGGGACUGCAAGGCUGGAGUGCGGCAGAGGAGACUGGAAUUCCUGGUGUAGCAGUGAAAUGCGUAGAUAUCAGGAGGAAUACCGAUGGCGAAGGCAGGUCUCUGGGCUGACACUGACGCUCAUGCACGAAAGCGUGGGGAGCAAACAGG